AAAAGCAACCAGCCCGUUUUCUC
rnacentral:siRNA from 1 species